GCAACGAUAUAGCAAGAUGAUAAACAAAGAGCAAGUUCAGGAGUCAUUGACACAUUGGAACCCAAAUUUCCUUGGGAAGGAUGGAAAAGGCAGAGCAAGGGAAAUCACAAAGGUUUCCAAGAAUGCGUGAUAAUGGGUUUCCCAAAGGUCUUUCUCGAGAAAUUUCUGUGCUCAGGUAGCCUUGAUAGAAGCAAAUACCAAUGCCGCACUAUACUAUCCACAAAGGUAAUUGUGAAACUUUAGUUCUAUAAGUUAGUUGGGAAAUUGGUCAUUUCUCUUAAUUUGCACAGUAGCUCGGUGUAUAACAAUAGCUUUUUUAGCUUAUUUAUUUGUCUGCCUUAAUGAAUUAUUUUUACAGUACAUGGGUUUCUUUUACUUUUAGGUAUGAUGUAUUCAGCUAUGGAUCAUACUAUGAAAACUUAAUUUUCGUACUGACUGAUUGUUAGCAUAAUGGCUAUUGAAUUUUCGGAGGGCUUACUUAGUCUGAUUAUGGUUACUCCGAAGCGGUGCAGUAAUUAAAAUUCAUCCCCAAAAUGGUGGGGUCGCAAAUUCAAAACUCUAUCUCGAUCUGCUAGGUGAACCUGAUUGUAUAUAUUAUUUUAGAACAGGAUUAUGUGGAUAUGGUAACAAUUGCCGCUUAAUCAUCCUUCAUAUCCAGGACAGGUAACAAAAGCAGUUCACAUCCCAUUCAAUUUAAGUAAAAGCCAAAUUUAGAUGUGAAUAGCAAUCGCUUUCAGAUUCUUUUGCAUAUAAUCGCCUUAGUGUUAUAUUAGUUUGUUACUGAAACUCUGUGGAUCUUUCUAAUAGUAGCAUUGAAAUUGCCAUUAUGUUGUUACACGUUUCGCAGUACAUAGGUGAACUACCGAAAAUACAUGGAAUCCUAUAAAGAUCAUUUUUACACAUUAGUAAUAAAAUUUUCGACCAACAUGGUUGACUGCAUCUUCGGUACCCAUAGGUACAAAACUUACAUAGAUUCAUUGGAUCUGGAGCUGGAAUUGGUUCUAAAGUUUUACUGGGUUCUUCACCAUACCUAGUGUAAUGCGUCUGCCUGAAGGUUAUGAGAUUUUUGCAUUUAAAUAAUUUAGAAUUUGGAGUUGUCGGAAAAUGACAAUUUGGAUUCAAUACCCAGUGAUCAACUCUUAAAAGAUGAAGUUUGUGCUGAUCAACUGAAGAUCAAGAAUGGGUUCUUACUCAAGAAGAUGGAUUCUAUUGCACUUAUACAGUUAAUGAAAAUGCCUACUUCAGAUUUAUCAUAGGAUGCAGAUUCUAUUAAGAUAUUAGUUUUACUUAUACGGCGUUGAUGGAGCUACUGGAGCUAAGUUCAGGUGUACAAGCAGAGAAUCAAUUCAACUUCUUUAAGGUAGCAGUUGUUCUACCCUAAUAGGGUAUACUGUCGAUGAGAUUGUUACACGGUAAUGGUAGGCUACUUAUCAAAUAUUUUUGUUAUAUUUUUUUUAUUUUUUAUGGCAUUUUGGUUCUUUGUGGUGCUAAAAUAGAAGUUGAAUUGUUGUCACAGAUGUUACAUGUGUGUUGUUAGACUAUCUGAGUUCCAUAUAUAGUUCAUGUGUUUUUAAUGUAACCAAGAGCUGAUAAACAAAUGAGUUAUGUGCUCAAUUUUUGGGUAUCCUGUUAUGGGU